UUAAACUUUUCAUUAAAAUUUUAUAUUCCCUCCAACAUAUUUAACUCUCCCUCCAAUUUUUAAUUGGCAAAAAAGGUCAUAAAACAUAAAAACCUCUCAACACUCUGGUCUUUGCCCCAAAUCAGAAAAAUCUCUCAAGAUCGUAAGUAUCCUCUUUGCCCCAAUUAAGAAAUCUCUCAAGACCCACAAAUCAACAGGGGACAAGGAGGCUCCUUGGGCAGCUCAUUGUCUACAUGUUGACCAAAACUCUUCAGCCAAAACGUUUUCUAACUCUAGAAAAUUCUCCAAGAAGAGAGAGGCUCUCAUCUUCAUCAAAUGGAGAUAGAGGGAAGUGACAAGGGAGAGAGAGCUUCGGCCAUGGCAGCAACUCCAAGCUUGGUAAUUAUUCAAGUCAUGGUAGCAAAGAUGGGUCUUUAGGGCAGCAAAAAAGCCUAAAGUUUCAUUCCUCAAAUUUUAGCAAACUAAGGAGCUAAGUAUCAAGGUUCGAGCAUCAGUGACGAGCGUUGAUUCGAGUUUAGAGCAGUCUGAUACGGAGACGGGGGUGAGCACUUGGAGUUUUGUACUAUUCUGGUCUCCAUUUGUGUAUAUAGACUAGUCUUUUACUUUUUGAGAAAUGUCUUAUUUUUGUGGUCCACUUUUGGGGCUUGUACUCUUUUGUUUAAUCGGCUCUGUACUAGGGACUUUCAGGUUC